rnacentral:lncRNA from 1 species
GUGAGGGCAACUGCUACAAGCUGAGAACCACAGAGUAAAAUAUGAAUGUUUCCGGUGUGAAAGGACUAGUUUGUUUUCAACCCACCUUCUCAUGGAACCAACUAGGAAAUCUAGGUUUACAUCAUCAUUUUCAAUGGAAAGGAUUCCAUUUGGUUUUCAAACUUUAACCUACACCAAAUGUGAACGCGUUUGAGAAUUUGAACUGAAUUGUUUAAGCCAUUUUUGAGUUACGUGAAGAUUAUUAAACUGAUACAUAGAGAUGACAGUUAAUUGAGCAAAACGACACAAUCAAUACGUAGUGAUAUUGGGACACCAACCUAGGGCCAUGUAGCUCUAGAAUUAGAGCUCUUCAUUUCUCUUCUCUUUGGCCUAUUUCUGAUAUCACAUGCCAUGCUGAACCAAGGGUGGAUGCAAUUUGAAUGUGGUGAAGUCUCCGAAGGGUGCUGUCCCUGUCAAUGAAAUAAGAAGCGGCUAGCUGAUGUAGCGUCUCCAGA